CUCAAAACGUUUUAUCCCCUACUAGGGAGAUUUUAGGCACUGUGCACAAUUGGUGGGUUAUGGACAGCAGGUACAUUGACAGUAUAUUGUACACCUGGUUUAGAAUCCUGGAUUUAAAAAAAAUCAUCUCAUUUGAAUGACUGAAAUCUUUAAAUCAUGCCUGACUGCUUCCUCCUCUGGACUACAAAUCCGCGGAAUGUUCAAGAAGUAGUGCCGUGAGGCAUAGACAGGCAACUAAUUGUUCUUUCUAAACAGAAAGAGGCAUUUCCCCUAGUGCAGAUAUUUAAUUUUAGACAGAGCUAAGAAACAAUCCUUAAGUGAGAAUUUGUAGCUGAGUCCUGAAGAUAAUUUGCUUUUCAGGUUAUUGAUCAUUGAGAAACCCUCUCUAAGACAUGUAGCUUUACCCUUGUACCAGAAGCAGAACUUUAGCCCUGUAUUUUACAGUAGGUGUUGCCUGACUCCUUUGACAAACCUGUCCUUUUGAGCAUACAAAUUCAUUGCAUUAUCAACCCUAGCUUUUAUAUGUUUGAGUGCAAGAGGAAGAGACCAGAUAUGCUGUUUGGCUAAAAUACUGUUGUCUAAGAAUCUAAAACUGGAAAGAAAAUCCAUCAAUAUUUCUCUCUUAUGGACAGUCUCAGAUUUCUGCUGAGUAAAUAUUUACACCUAGAGAAGAAAUUAAAAUACAAAGUGAAAGGGAGAUCCCUCAGCAACUCUUAAAAAAAUUAGGUUAUCCAUCCUAUAUAAUUAGAUAGGUAGUAUCAACAACUGCAAUGCACAGACAGAUGUAGGUGUUUGAGGGCCUUUCCUCAAAUGAAUCACAGUUACAUGACCACCAAACCUGUCAUUUUGUGCUGAUCCAACAAGACAUUUUAUUAGUCCUUAACAUUUCUCAUUGUUUACUGGAUGGGAGUACUUGCUGCUUGAAGGUGAUCCAACACUCCUCUUAUAUAUUCCAUUCCAUAUGUAAAAGACAUAGGAACGCCUAGUACCAAACACCAGUAUCACCUAGUAACAAGCACCAGCCUCUGGAAAUACCUCCAGGGAAAACAGGCCCCUGGCUGCCUUCCCACAUCUCAUGGGAUCAACUAUGAGUUGUCAAAAGUUCUGAAACAGUAACUGUGUAUGACAGCAAAUAUUCCUUAUUUUGGUCAUGACAAAUCGUUUUCUAGCUUGAUUGUUAGCUCUCUGGGAAAGGAAUAGGUAUUUGUAAGUGCCUACCACAAAAACUUCUUUCCAAACAUUGGUUUUACAGAGCUCAAACAAUGCAGUGAAAGAAAUUUAGUGAUUUAUUAAGCAGGUAGCAAAGGAUUUUUUGAGGGAUGGUAAUUUUUGAAUGACAUAAAACACUUAAUUUUUUUAUUAUUUUGUUAAAUAACACAAAUCUUAUCCAUUUGUCUCUUGCAAUCCUACAGAAUAUUUAAGAUUCUGGUAGGAAAUGAAAGCUCAAAACAUUUUAUGAUGAAAACUAUUAAUUUUCAGCCAAACCAUGAACAUUAGGAAAUGCUACUCUGUGACCUCCAGGGAACCCUAGGUUAGAAUCACAUGUUUCAGUCUUUUCCACAGUCUGGAUUUCAUGGCAAGAUACAAAGACCUCCCAAGAUGUAUUUUGAAGCUACACACGGUACACACUAUGCAUUGUUUCUUUUCUAGCUAGCCACCUGCAGCCACAAAAUGGUAUGGUCACACAAGUAAACCAAAUUAUUUCAGAUGGGACAUGAGACUGUUAACAUAACACUAGAUAUUUUACUUGAGAGUUCUCACUUCUAUCCCUAAAAAACUAAAAUCAAACCAACCAACCAACCAACCAAAUAAGCAAAAACCAAAAUCACAAAAAACGACAUACCUAGAAAAAAAUGACACUGAGUCAAGAAACAAUUACCUUUUAGAAGGAAAAAUUUCCCACUAGAAAUCAUGUACGAUGUUCCACAUUCUUUUCCAUGCAAGAUAAAGGAUCAUAUUCCCAGGCUACCUUUCACAUAGAUUCAUAGUAACAAUAUUUUAAGAGUUUUCCCCUUACAUUAGUCCCUUUGACCACUUAAGUAGUUGAGUACAGAACUACCAGCAUUUGGGAAUUUGAGGACCAAAAAUCCUAGGGGGAUUCUCUGAAUAUUUGAUAUGAAUUUUAGGCCUAAUUUUGUUACCUUUCUACCAGUAGUUAUUAAUUCUCUGAAAGAGUCAAAAAUAUACUUACUUACAAGAGAUUUAUACAAUCAAACUGGACAGGUAUUUUUUAUCUUUCAGACAGUAAGUGACCUGUCUUUCAUUCAGAAAAAAAUUUAAAUCAAAGUAAAUAAAUAUAUUUUUAUUGCAGAAGGGAACAAUGGCAGGUCUCUUGAUUCUUUUCAUUAUUACUAUGUAUUCAGCAGCUUCCAACCCACCUUACCACCAUGUCACUGGCACACCUAAAUCUUAUGGCUUCAGGGACUAAGAGCCUUCUCAACUGACUAUUGACAAACCAAAAAAAUCUGGCUCUUGCUGAACUGGAAUACAGGAGUCAUCAUCUGUGGUAGGAAGGGGAUUCCAGCUCUUGCUGGUUUUGAAGCUUUGCCUGAGCUCUAGAGAAGCUGAGCUCCCCCCCACUUGUGGGACAUGAGGAUAUCUUCAUCUUGGUGGCCAUAUGGAGAGGCAUUUGACUCAGAUGGGAGAUGGAGCUAAUAGCUACUACUUUCCAGGACAGCAAAGGAAGAUCAGUGCAGCUGAGGCUCAGGUGGGAAGUGGUAAUUAAUAGUAGGAGUAGGGAAUAACUUUUUAUCCUGGUUCUUGGCUGCGAUUCACCGUUGAGUUCAUACUGAGAGCACAGGAAGAUCUGACUUUUCUAGAAGACAGCUUGUCAAGAUCAUGAGCUGGAGUAUUCUGAAAUGUAGAGGUUUCAUAUUGCCAUUGUACAACAAACAAGCCAGUGAAAAGCCUGAGCUCAGGUUAAUCCAAAUCUGUAUGCCAGGCAUGAUCUCUGUCACUUCUUCUCUUCUUCAGUGUGAAACUUGCUGGACCCAAAAGUAUACAAAGAACUGAUUAAUAACUUGAUCUACUCCUUCUCUGUUUCUCCUAUGCCUGAUCAUCUGAAUGAGGCUGCUGAGCUUUUUGGGCUGGAAGUCAGCUUAAAGAAGACAGAAGUUUUCUAUCAACCUGCACCUCAGGAAGUCUUCCAUCAUCCCCAUAUUACCAUUGCCAUAUCAGAGCUCAAAUCAGUCCAGCAGUUUAAUUACCUAGGUAGCCUCAUCUCCUCGGACGGUAAGAUUGACGGAGAGUUAGACAACAGGUUAGCAAAGGCAUAUAGUGCCUUCGGAAAACUCCAUAAAAGAGUUUGGCGAAAUAAACACCUGAAUACAAAGAUCAGUGUUUACAAAGCCAAUGUGCUGUCUACUCUCUUAUAUGGAUCCGAAUCAUGGGUCAUCUACCGCCACCACCUGCGACACCUAGAACUCUUCCAUCAACGUUGCCUCCGUACAAUCCUAAACAUCCACUGGUCAGAUUAUGUAACUAAUACAUCUGUUCUAGAACAAGCAGCAGUCACAAGUAUUGAGGCCAUGUUGCUGAGAACACAGCUGCAUUGGGCAGGACACAUCUCAAGGAUGAAGGACCACUGCCUCCCUAAGAUCCUGCUUUAUGGUGAACUUGCCACUGGCUGCUGCAAGAGAGGAGCCCUGAAGAGAAGAUACAAGGACUCCCUGAAACAACAUCUCAGCCUCGGCCACAUUGAUCACCAUAACUGGUCUACUCUGGCCUUCAAUUGGGAGGUCUGGAGACACACCAUCUAUAACGCUGCUGCUUCCUUUGAGAACGCACACAGGAUCACUCUUGAGGAGAAAAGACAAUGCAGAAAGAAUUGUGUCUUGCCAAUACCAUCUAAGGAGUCUUUCUGCUGCGCCUUUUGCAACUGAACUUGUCUAUCUCCUAUUGGCCUCUUUAGCCACCAGCAUGCCUGUAGCAAAUGUGGGUAGAGCCUUUCCCAAAUCUUCGUUCACAAAGCCUAGCCAUGGAAUAUGCAUAUAUAGGAAUACAUCAUAUACAUCUUCCAGCAUGUUCUCUGUAGAAGAGAACAAUUCAGAAAAUAAUACAUAUGAUCAUUAUCCCAGAGUUUAUUAUCAGCACUAUGGCUUUUAUAAAGUUAAUUAUGUCCAAAAUUAUGUUAAUCAUUUCUCAUUACACUGAUUCAAUUUUCUCUAAUAACAAAAUAGUAUACUUCUGUGGGCUUUUUUUCUGAUGCUUUAAUAUCAAAAAAACAUAAAUCAAAGAUGUUUUGACAGAUGAAAAACACAAUUUUGUAACAGAAUGGAAAAUUUUAGAAACUGAAUAGCUGAUAAAAGAUGAGUAGAACCAGGGAGGAUUGAUGUUUUAGCUGAAGGCAGCAUUAAAGAUUAGGUACUCAUUUGGCUUUUCAGAAGGCCUGGUGACUCAUUCCACAUAAAUGAAGUUUGUGAUAUGUAAUGAAAUGCUUUCUAUCUUCACUGCAAGCAAAUUAGCAGGUAUUUUGCAGGAAGAAUAUUAAUGUUAUCUCGCAUUUGUUUCAGAGCAGGAAUACAUUAACAGAAGAGAUUUGGAAAGAAUUUCACUUUUAUAAUAUCAGGUACUGAAAGCAUUAAAACAAGGUCACCUUUGUAAAGCAAUGAGAGGAAAUUAGGUUAUAAACAAGCAGUGCCUAAAAAUAUAUUCCCUCGGUUUCGCUGACCAAAUGUUGCUCCAAAUUGUGGAUUUUCUUUACCAAGAAUGAUAAUUGUAUGUCUAGAGUGGAAUUCUGCAAAGUUAAAGAAUUAGAAAGCCAUGGUUUGGUGAGGGAGAAGGGAUAAGCAUUUCAGUGGGUAAAGUAAUUUCAUUCCAUUAAGGGAGAAAAACAGGCUGUUUUGCAGCCUUUACUAUUCCACCUUGUAAAACAAUAGACUAUGUGAAGACAUUACAUCUUCUAUUUUUCUUUUUUGUUUUGUUUUGGUUUGUUGGUUUGUUGGUUUUGGUCUUUUUGUUUUGUUUUGAGGUUUUGUUUGUUUUGAUUUUGGUUUGGUUUGGUUUGGUUUUCAGGAGAGCAGUAAUGAACAGGAAGGGAGAUAUAUCUGAGAAAAAUAGUGAUAGAGGAAACUAGAGUAUAUGAGAGAUACAGAAAAUCAGUAUGCCCUAAAAGCAAGAUAAGCAAGAUAGAGAAAAAAAAUUACCUUCAUUUUUUUAUUUGAAAACGAGACAGAUAUGAAAUAAGACUGUACAUUUGCUAGCAUUGGAUUAAAUGGGACAACUGGACAAAGAGGAGGCUGGUUAGUAAAUUAACAAUAUUUCUUUAGAGAGGACUGGACUACUUUAUGACUAGUUUGUGAAUUAGACAUGAUAAAGCCUUGUCUAAAGUAUAUGUGUGUAUAUAUAUAUAUGUAUAUAUAUACACAUAGAGAUAACAUAAUGGCAAUUAUUUAGGAAGAAAUACUGAACAUAAGGAACUAAAGGCUGGAUAUAAAGACACAGAUAGUGAGAUAGGUAGAAAAUUUAUCUUCAAGACAAACUGAAAAUGUAGAUAAAGAAACACAUUUGAUGACAAAAAUGGCCUUGCAACCUUGCAAUCUUAACUCACUAUCAUGAUGACAGUAACAGUCGAAGUAAUUCUAAGUAGGUAGCAUAUUUAUAAACAAUUUAAAUUUCAGUAGAGAUCUUCUAUAUCAUUCUUUUAAAAUAUGUUUAUAAAAACCAUGCAAACCUUACACCAAAAAGUGUUACUUAACUCCUCAUUCAGUGGUUUGUAUCUUCACUGGCCCCAGAUGUCUCUAGGUCAAUGCAAUGAAUCUGAUCAAGGAUCUAAAAAGGUAUUGGCUGCAUUUUUUUUUUUAUAUUUAGCUGAACCUCCUUCAUCAAAAUAUUUUUAUGUUACCUUUGCAAUUUGGUAGGUGGUCAGGUAGAAGUUUGUGUUGGUUGGGACAAGUUAAAGUAGAGUGAAUCUUCCUGUUAACUUCAGUGAUUGCUUUAGAAAUGCUAUUUAAGAUGCAAUAUUUUGUUAUCCACUUUCUCUAAAACUUAGUUCCCCUCCUUUGAAAGAGUUUAUAAACAUAAUAACUGAAUUUUUGAUAAAGAAAACACCAGGAAAUCUAAUAAUGCUUGUCUGCUACACAUUGGUGAAAUAAAGCUUGUUCAGUUAAUGUUUCUAAAAGACCUCGAGGGCUUUUGAUGAGGUGCUUAUUACUUCUUGAGCAUGCCCUUAUAAUUAAAUAUUGUGCUUUAUAACUUCUGCUGGGUACACUGACAGAACACCAAUGAAACUAAUACAGCUGCAGAUUUAUACCAAAUAAAGAUCUAUUGAAUAAUAUUUAAUGCCUAUUACCUAUAAAUAAUCUGAGGAGUCUACAUAAAUAAAGAGCAUGGUGUUGAUGGUUUCAAAGGACAAAGUCAUAACAGGAAGAAAAAAUAAAAAAAGCAUAUAGGUUUAUUUUGCAUCACUCUCCCAGACAAAAGCAUAACAUUUUACCAAAGAUCACAUCUGUGGAUCAAGAGUCGAGGAAAAAAAGUAUGAUUACUAACUGUUUGCUGAAUAACAUACAAUUAAAUUUGUCAGACUAUUACUUUCAAGUGAACUCAUAGUACAUCCAAGUACGUGAAAACAAGUGGAGACGGAAAAAGGAGGCUAAAUACAUAUUUUCAUGGUUGACAACAUGUAAAAGAUACCCCUGAACAUGGCACGAAACCCAAAAUUAUGUCAUUAUUCAAAUUGCACACUUUUCUAACUUAACACUUCCUGUGAUCACUGGUUUUAAAGCAAAACUAAAAGAGUCUCUCCCUGUCAGAGAGACUGCAUUUAUCUUAGGAAAACCAAACUGUAAGAUAAAUUAAAACCAAAGAGAGAUAAAAGAAAGGGAUAUUUAUUAAUAUGUUGUAUGUCAAAAUAGGCCCACAAGAGCUUCCUGUAGUUGUAUGAAUUAUAUUUUAAGAUUCUACAUUUAAAAUUUCAUUGAAUGAAGUUAUUAGAAUACAAAAGCUGUGCAUGUGUUCUUUCUCACAGUAAGAAAGAGAAUGGAUGAAAAAAAGUUGCCAAAAGUAGAGAGCAUUUGUAUACAGCAAGAUUCUACAGUUACACAGAAUUUGUAUCUUAUUCUAUAACAGUCUGAAUGGACUUUCACUUAGGUUUGAAAAUCAUAUUAACAGUGAAGAACGUGCUUUGUGUAUUCAUAUGCUCUCCUGUAAUACAAUAUUGUCUAGUGAUCUGACCACACUGAUGGUUCAGACAUCAUUUUAUAUUCUCAUUGGAGAUUCUGAAGUUGCUCUCCAGACAGCAUAAGUUACUGCAGAGAUUUUUGAGUUUUGUAGCCAUGUGGACCUUCCAAAUAGGGUUAGCCUGUGCUGUGCAAGUGACAGAGAUGUACCAAAAUAUACAUGUAUUCAGAGCUAGCUUGAGGUUCUCAUCAGUGUAGAAAAAAAAUCAAGGAGACAGCAGGAUUUAAGGAGUGACAAAUUUUAUUGUGGUGGGCAUAGCCAACGUAUUUGCAUAGAGAAGAAGGUGAGAAGUCAGCCUGAAAUACAUUCUUCAGUGUCAAAGGAUUACUGGGUGUUUAUUUAAUGCAGAUUACCCAUUCCAUAGACUUAGUUUAUCUUUCAGAAUCCACAUCUCUUUCUCUCCCAACCUUAAGAAAUGCUUUGAGUACAAUGGCAGAGAAGGAACUACAAGUCUUGUGAAGGAUUUCUGAGUUCUCACAAGUAUGAAAAUCUUCAGUGUUCAGACUGAAUUCAGUUAAGUCUUCACUUAUUAGCAGAUCCUAUUUAAUAUCUAUUUUGAAGUAGUUCUUCAUUAGCACUAUGUGAAGUGAAAUUACUUGGAAGCAAAUGGUUUAGGUUAGCCUAUGGUUAAAGGUAGACCUUUGUUACUAAAGCUUUUAAAUUACUGUAAUUUUCUCUUCAAGUUUAGGAAUGUUCGGGGCAGACCUCAACCUUUUAGUCAAUUAUCUUGUGGUUGAUAAUCUUCAAUGCUACCAACAUGAAAUUUUAAGAUAAAUCACUCUUCAUUGUUGAUGACCCUUCUAUGACAUGAACCAUCUUUGCUUGCUUCAUAAAGUAUCACUGAAGACUCCUAUUUAGUACAGGUAUGAAGAAAGGAGCAGAGUUUACACUUACAGAUCUUCAUUUGGAGAUUGAAGGUCACAUUAGCUCCAUCUAUUCACCGUUUGCUGGGGAAUGUCUAAUCUUCAGAAGUUCACCCAUUAAACACAAAUUAAAGAUGAAAAUGUUCAUGAAAAAACUGUAUAUCAUCACUUCCAUGGAUGAAUAUGAAUGAUUCUUAUUACUAAAAUCAAGUUGCAUUAUUUCUCUCUUAAAAUAAAUAUAUUAUUAAAAAUGACACUAUAAUUAUAUUUUUCUGUGAUGGCAAUUCAUAAUGAUAAAAUUAUUAUGUUAUGAUUAAAAAUAUUUUAAUACAUAUAUUUUAUGAUAUUAAUUUUUUUAAGGUUUUACUGUAUAGUUUUAUUUUGUUUUCUUGCAUUUUAUGAGGAAGAGUACUGAACAUUAAUAGGAAUAACAGAAAAAGUCUGUUAAACUGCUCAUUUAUAAUGAAGCUGUGCUAAAUGUUUUGACCUGUAAAAUUAAAUGCUAGUGAAAUAUAUCAGCCUCCCAAUGAAGCAAAUUAUAUGGCAAUUGAUAAAGCUCCAUUUGCUCAAUAAAGCAGAUUAUAACGUCCAUGAGUACAAAUCCUUGCUGGUACUUAGUACUGCAGACAAGGUAGUUUUUAUGGCUCCUAAGCAUCACUGUGGAAGGAGCUCAGUAUUCCAUGAAAAGAUUCUUUUCUCGUCUAUAGCAUCUGGUCUUUGUCCAAUGUUCAAACUACAACUGAGCUCCAUGGUGUUUUGUUUGCCUGCAUAGUCUGUUCAUUAUCAGCUUCUAACUAAUACCUUUGUAAGGUACUUUUGAUAAUUUAGUAUAAAAAUAAAAUUAAAAUAUCCAAAUUGUUAAUUUUAAAAUUCUUUAGAUCUCUUUUCAUUUGGAAAUAUCAGUGCUGGUUUUGCUCAUUAGUAAUCAAUGUCUAUGUUAGCAAAUACACUGUCAGAAUCAAAAGUCAUACUGAUUAGCAAGAUUUUAGUAUUUUCUCAAGUACUCAACAGAA